GUCAGCGGAUACUCCAUAUACUCUUACUCACUUUCCCGCCAUUUUGAACAAGAGUUCGAAAAACCCAAGCGAUAUUUUCGGACUUACACGUACACCGUGAGCGAGUUUAAAACCCUUUGGAUAUUUUAAAUGGACUCCAAGGAACUCAGGCUUUGCUUUGGCUUCAAGCUUGUGCCACAGAUGAUAGAAGACUCCUAAGAAGUCACUAUUUAGAUAAAGGUAUUGGCACCUAAUCUUGUCCAGGACCUAUUCUCAACCACAUGGAAAUAAUGUCAAAUAUUUAGUAAGCAAUAAAGAACAAGCAGAAAGUGACACAUCGGGUCGAAGAAACAACGUAGCCAAAAAAAGAAUCUACAAGCACUACAAAUAUAUUCCUGAUACAAGACAACAGCGUGACCCAGGACACUGUAGACUUCAAUUAAAAAAGCUCUAUGUACAUUGAAAGACACAGAAAUCAAAUAGGAAACAUACGUUGAAACUGGUAGGUGAAUUAUUAAUUUAAACCAUGUGCUUCACUUAAAUCAUUAUGUCGAUUGUAACGUUAUUAAUUAUCUGAUUACUUUGCAAGAUUACCCAAAAAAUAUUUCUGAAUUCCAUUACAAAACUUGUGUUUUCGCAUUUUCUGAAAAUAAUAAAAUGAGCAAAGGUUCAUUAGCGUCGUCAAAACCUUUUAACAUAUAGAGGUUAAUCUAGACAUUGCUAUAUUCAGCUGCUCAAUACAGUUUUCAUUUUGAUCAACUCAAUUUCUAUUUACCGAAUAUUCACCGAUUUCACAAUUGUCUCUUAUGUACUUCAAGUCAAAAUAUAACAUUUAGCAGACACUUAAAUUGAAUAAUCCCAGUGUUUAUAUACUGCUAUUACCAUAUUCCCACUCAGGCAUUCUCAGUAUUCCACUGCUCCGAUUUCCUUUAUAUCGUUUAGCGAUAUAAUAAUUUUUCUUAAAAAAUCUUAUGAAAAGCACAAUGUUUACCACAUGUCUUCAUACACUAGCUAUCUUCACCUCAUUACCACGAAAUGAUCAAGUAAGCCAUGACAGUAAGGUCAAUCCAAAUUCCCCAGUUGGUGGUUACAUACCAGAAUUUCUGGAAAAAUAUAAAAUCUUAAAUAGAUAUCAGAUCGGCCGACCAUUAUCAGUCGACCGACCAUUUAUUAGUACUAAAAACCCUAAUUGACUCUUAUAAAUCAAGCCACAAACCACUUUUUGCAUGUUUUAUCGACUUUAAAAAAGCAUGGACAGUGUCUUGAGAGAGUGUUUGCUUUACAAACUAAUAAUUGGGUGAUACAAAAAAGCAGUAUACACCUGCUGUGACAUGGACAAGAUUGCAUUAUGAAUAUGAGGUGAUUAUUCUCGUACACACAGUAUCGUCUUGCUGUGUAUCUUGAAGCAAAGAAACGGGAUGUACAUAAACUAUUCUCUUAUUUGUUAGCUUCAAAGUUUGUUGCCACUCUUUGUUUGUACAUAUGCGACUUUUGUAAGACCUCCAUCCAUGCAGAUAUGACCUAGCAAGUCAUUACUUUGAAGAAGGUGGGAAACCAGUGCUUCGUUAAUUCUUGAUGCACCUUUCUUGGAUACUGUGAUAAUCAUAGCUUAAGGAAUGCGUUGAGCGGUGGAAAUGAUAUCUUCAUCGGAUGACCUCCGGCUUAUUAUGGUGCUUUACCCACCCGCAGACCUCCCAAAUUGCUUCUAAUACCAUCGGAGCAGAAAAUACAAAUAGAGACGGGUUGCUUUGCUCCCUAAAUAAGUCGUGAAUACUUUUAUAUUCUGUUUUCGCUAGUAUUGAGAUUUCCAAAAUCGUUGAAAGAUACACUCGUACCGCUUUCCUUACAGAAAUGCUUAACGAAAGUCGUCACAAUUGUUAUAUCAGACUUGUUAGGCAUAUUGGCAGAAUAAAAGCUAUGUAGUGUCCGCAAUGCUUUCGUUUAUAUAUUGUCCUAUGAUAUUAGUUAUACAUAAAAAGCCAUUGUUGUUACAGCCCCCCAAAUGACUAGUAGUCUUUAAACUUCGAUUAAUGUGCAGAACAGGGGUGAUUCUCCAUGGUGGCUUUGUCUUACUUUAACAUGACAGACACAUGAUACGUUUAACCAUGUAUUUAAGAUAAGAUAUACAUUUGUUCUUCGAUUGUAUAGUAUCCACAGUCAUAUUUCUAUCUCUAUUGAAAAUUGUUAUUAUUGUAAUUAAGAAAAAAACUUUAAUUUACUAGAUAUAUACAAGAUAUUCGAUAGUUUUCUAGAAAUAUACAAGAUAUUGAAGAUUCGAUAAUUUACUCGAUAUAUACAUGAUAUUCAAAAUUUUAAAAAUCAUAAACAUUCAUUUAUAUUUAUUUCUAAUUUGUCAUGGAUUAUGUCAUUUUUAUCAGGUGGAUACCGUAAUUUCACAAUCAAUGAUAGUUAUUUUUUUUGUUUGGGAAUGUUAUCUUUUUUGGUUCUUUUAUUAUAAUUAAAGAAAAUAAUAAUUAAAGAAUAUAUCGAAAAGGUUCAAAAUAGAUCUGUUUAAAAUAAAGAAAAAAACUAAAAUAAGUGCAUUCCGCGUGUCUGUCAAUUUGCCUUUGUCUUUUUCUUCUUUUUUCUUGAACUUUCUUCAGUUGGUUCCCCAUUUUCUUCUCCAACAGGGGCGUAUUCGUUGUACUGUUUGUCCAGGUCAACGUCUUGUUGUCUGUUUUGUCUACUUAGAUCAUCCACUUUUUGUUGCAACCCUAAGAUCACACUAUUAACUAUUUGUGGGUCCAUACCAGCAAGUGGUGCCGUUGCCGCAUUUGUCCUUGGUCUUGGAUUUGCGGCAACAACAUCACUUGCUGGCCGAGGGGUUGCAGCAACAGGUGCAUCUGGGUUAGCAAGUAUGUCAAGUAAGUUUCGUCUUCCCCUCGUGGUUGGUGGGUUAGUUGCGUCCUUGCAAGAGAUCUGUUCAAAAGUUCAAUAAUAUUAAUAAAAAAAAUAAUAAUAAAAUAACUGAAUUCCGGGAGUAGAUCAACUGACCUUCGUUCUCUGCUUCUUCUUUUUCCUUGGUCUUUCGGGUUCUUAGUUGUUUCCACAUCUCCCGCAUGAUUUUCUUCUCCAACAGGGGCGUCAUCUGUUUCGUUGUUGUCGUGUUUGUCCACGUCACCGUCCAUUUUUGUAAAUUGGCAAAACGUCCAGUAAUUCAACAGGCAUAAUGUUAUAACAUUAAUUUGACUAGUAUCAUACUUACUAAAUUGAUAUCUUGAUUAUAGAUUAGGCUUGCUGUACUCUAUAAAAAUCGAAAUUUAUGUUAGUAAACAAAUUCUCGGUUAAUAGACCUAUUGAAUUUGGAGUACCCUUUAAUGUUUGACAUUUUGUUAUCAGAAUUCAUUUCUACUUUGCAAAGAGUCCAUUAUUUCAACAUACAUAAUGUUAUAACCGUGCUAUGUAAUGAAUAGUAUUUAUACUUACUUAACCGAAGCUCCUUAAAAGUACUGGUGGCUUUCUGUACUCAUAAAAAAUUGAAAUUUAUGUAAGUAAACACAUGCUUGGUUAAUGGCCUUUUGAAUUUGAAGUACUUUUUUAAUGAUUGACAUUUUAUUAUCACUUGGAGUGGUAUUUCAAUUGUUUGAAUUUUCUUAAAGUAUAACGAUGUGUCUCUCAGUUCGACAAAAUGCUUGUUGAAUUCAUUAAAUAAUGGUAUGCCAAAAUGCAACGAAACUUGCUUGCCAAAUCGUCCAUUUUUUCUAUUUUCUCCAACACACUGUCAAGACUGGUAUUGGUCAAGAUGGUAUUUUUUAGCCGAGUUUACAACGGUCACAAUACGACCACGAACUCUAACCCUCUACUAGCCAACAUAAACGGUUCUUCAGCAUUAUACGGUUUUAUUCUGGCUCUACAGUAUGGACAAUGGUACGGUACUGUAGGCGCGGUAACCUAACCCAAAAUUUUUCUAUGCACCGCUCGUUGACACGUCGGCCACAGCAAGCCAGCGUGUUGUUAGCGGUUUAAUUGCAAUGGGAGCAGUUAUCCAUCUACACAGAAAAAAGAAAUUAGUGCCAUUCAUAUAUGUAUAAAAAUAUAAAAUGGUGUACUUCCUUUUUGAUUACUUUAGUAGGUUGUUGGUUGAAAGUUCCUGUGAAAGCAAAAAUAAUAACGUGAAUAAGCGCACUGUUCUGUUUAUAAUGGUUUUCUAUUCUAUGCCAUAUGGAUGUAUUUUUGGUCAUCUAAAGACAAUGUAGCAAAUGUAUCUAAAAAUGUCUCUUAUAAGAAGUGUCCGCUUGAUGUUCCUUUAACGAGGAUCCAUUGGAGGGCAAGUCUGGUGCCAGCAGCCGCGGUAAUUCCAGCUCCAAUAGCGUAUAUUAAAGUUGUUGCAGUUAAAAAAAAAAAGGAGCAGAGCCAGGAGGAAGACAAUGCGGUAACCUAACCCAAAAUUUUUCUUUAAAGCUUGUAUAUCUCAUUUGUUUCAAUUACAUAAAUGCAACGAUGUGCCGUGAAACCAUGGCCCCCCGCAACAUAAUCAACGAAGUUUAGCCUAACACUGCUCAAACACCCUUCACGAAGAGUCAACUAAGGAGUCGUUCUUCGUGCAAUCACACGGGUGAUUCUCCAUGGUGGCUUUGUCUUACUUAAACUUUUAUUUUUGUUCAAUUAUAUAGUACUAUCCACAGUCAUAUAUAUAUAUAUCUUAAUUGAAAAUUGUUAUUAUUAUAAUUAAGAAAAAUACUAGAUAAUACAAGAUAUUCAAAAUUCGAUAAUUUACUAGAUAUAUACAAGAUAUUAAAAAUUCGAUAAUUUACUAGAUAUAUACAAGAUAUUAAAAAUUCGAUAAUUUACUAGAUAUAUACAAGAUGUUCAAAAUUCGAUAAUUUACUAGAUAUAUAUAAGAUAUUCAAAAUUUUAAAAAUUACAAUAUUUGUAUAAACAUUCAUUUAUAUUUAUUUAAAAUUUGUCAUGAAUAAUGUCAUUUCUAUUAGGUGGAUAUCGUAAUUUUGACAAUCAAUGAUAGUGAUUUUUUUGUUUGGAAAUGUUAUCGUAUUUUGGUUCUGUUUAUUAUAAUUAAAGAAAAAUACUAUGGAAAUUACUUGAUAUAUCCCGAAAGAGGCUUGCAUGGCCACUUCUAGAGUAUUGUCUAGUGAUAAAUGACAUAAUAUCGUAUAUGUCAUUUGCAGUCGCCGAUGACUGCUUGUCCGUUGGGUCCAAGUUUUUAAGCGUCUGUCUUAAAGGUUGUAUUUUGUCAGUAAUCCGUUCGAUAUUUUGUAAGAUGUCUGUAUUGUUAAUUAUGUCCAUAUUUUCGUUGACACAUUGGGCGAGCUCAGAAAGCGCCACGCCUGGCCUUAACAGCCAUUCACAAUAUCGUGUAUUCAGCGCUUUGCUGAACUCGCCCAAUCUGACCCGGGUUUGCCCUUUGUAUGGUCGGAGAAAAUAGUGGGGGAAAUGGGAAAAGUAGUUUACUCGUUUGUUAUCACUUAAAAGGUAUCCAUGGCAAUAUUUCUAAAAAUUAAAAUAUAUGGUUACGUAAUGUAAUACAUGUUGAACAUGACUUUUCUUUUCCAUGAACAACAGAAAAAUCCACUUGACGAUUCAUCUAAUAAAAAGCUUUUGCAAUUUUUCAGUUCGGACUUUCUUAAUUGAAACGUCAUUAUAACUUGUACAUCUCAUUUGUUUCAAUUUUCUUAAAUGAUAACGAUGUUCCGUGAAACUAUAGCCCCGCAACAUAAGCAACGAAGUUUAGCUUGACACUGCUCAAACGCCCUACAGGAAGAGUAAACUGGGGAGUCGUUCUCUGUCAUCGCAAUUCGUGUCAACCGAUAUAGGUCAAUGUCGAAAAACUUUGCAUGUCAUAAUCAUUCAUAGUCUGGCCAAAGAAGCGACCUUGAAAUGUAUUCCGUAAAACACGUUUCAUGGCUAGUCAAUCCCAGCCACCAAACACAUUUUGACGAUACACACACCAGAGUACCUUCUAUGAGCCUUCUAGACCAUCCCCGAAGGGGUGUGAUGACUCUAACCCUUGCAGAGUUCUUUGACAAAGGAAAUCAGAGCAGUGCAAUACUAAAAAUCACUGUAUGUGAAUACGGUUCUAUCCAAAAUUUAUUGUAUUAUUUAAUAGGUUUCCCUAAACGUGAUUGAAUAAGUUAGUACGUGAGAAAUAUGAUAUUGACCAUUUAAUUACAAUGAACUUUUUCAAUUCAAUUCUUUAUAUAAGAUUUUUCAUUGGAGAAAGUAUUUGUUUUUUUAGAGAAAAAAGUAUAAUUAUUCAGUAAAUAAACACUAGAGCAUAAUAUGACUUUUUUAGUGAUAAAAAUCAGUAUCUCGUAAAUUCUAACAUUGAACAAUGUUCUAACAGAAAAAUAUAAAGGGGAAUUACAAGAAUUCCUUGAUAAACAAACAUUUCUGCGUAUUUCAAGGGGUUUCUGAAAAACUCUGCUAUAACUUUGAAAUGUGCUCCUAAGAGCCACAUUUUAGCUCCAAGGUGGUACAGGUCAUCCACAACCUGACUGAUUUCUCCUUCUUCGGAAACCAGCUCUACAAAAUCUACUACAUUUUCCUUGGAGAACUCUUACUUGUUACGUGUGUUAAGCUUUUUUCCAAGGAUUUUAAGCUUACUCAUUUCUUCCCUGGCCACGAAUUCUCUUAGCUUCGAUGCUCUCGGUGUUGUGGUGUCCUACACAGAUUUUAACUCCUCCAUAUUUACUUCGAACGUUUAAUGCAAUGCGUUUUGCCAGUACCAGGCUCACCUAUGAUUGACAGCAGUUUGGUCCAAUCAUUCAAUGAAUGAUCUUCGUCAUCCUUCUAUUAAAUGAUAGGUGGUGUUCUCAGUGGAGGUUGUGGAUCGUCGUCGGCGAUUUCUUCAUCAUCAUAAUUUACUUGGGGUUGUGGCUGUACAGUUGCAAAAACUGUUCCAUAAUGGCGAGAUCGUAAACCAAGAAAUGACUUCAGCUUAUUCAGCACACUUGUUGCUCGGCAUUAAGCGUGAAGUCAUUAUGAGUUGGCCUAUUUACGAAAUCCUCAUUACGGAGAACUUGUACUUGCCAGAGAUGGUACAUUUGCCUCGUAAUAUGUAGAAACGACAAGACAUUGUCUACAUAAUACUCUUUAUUGCCCUGUUCUCGAAAUAAAGUGGCAAUUGCAACAUCAUCGUUCCAUAGUCUGGUUGCAAUGCUAGGGCCGCUGCACAAUACUUGAACUGUUCCGGAAUGCUGUCAUGGUUUGGAUGUCUAAGUUCACUGACAUUCUUGGAAGGUACAUUCAAAAAUAAGUGUUGAAAAAAGAAGCAAGGAUUGAAAACUGACACGUACUUAACCCCGACAAGGGCUGUUUUCCUUUAGUAAGGAGUGGGAACACUUUUGUUAGUAUCGUGCGUCCUUAGCCAUUGGAGCAAACUAUAGUUCUGGAUAUCCUGGCCCCUAUUAAUGUAUUUUGUUACAAAAACACUUUUGUCAACGUUACUUGGACGCGGAGGAAUGUAAUGUUUUGUGGGGUUGUUGGUCCAGGCGGGCUUUAAAGACGAGAGAGUGACAACCAUCUCUGGUUCGAGUGGUUUUAAAUCUGACACAUGACGGAAGCCAGCCAUGGCAGGAGUAACGUGUCUAGAAUACAAUGAUUCUGAGGUUUGUUGGUUAUGGAAUUUUGAGACGUAUGAGGUGACGUACCUUAGCACCAUAGAUUUCUUAUCAGAAUGUUGGACAUCCAUUUUGCAUUUGAGGAACGGAAGGAUUGUGCUUAUAUAAGCUCGAAUGUUUCGAGAAAAUGCGUCUUGAGGUGGUACAAGGAAAGCAUUUCCUCGCCGUUCUGAUUAGUUUCAACUAAGGUUCUCUCAUUGCAUUAUGGGAAGGCAUCUUUGUGGCUGGGCUGAAGGUCAUUGACUAAGUAAGCAGUCUCCGCAUCUAACCACGGAAUGUCUCCCCUAGUCUGCUUGCUAAAGACUCUUAAGCCAAACCAAAAGAUGCUGGUGGGCGGUACCCCUGCCUUGAAAUUCGAUCCGAUGGAAAAAGUUCUCAACAUUGCAACGGUUUCUUAUAGAUAAGUAAACACGUUGUCCGUCCACCGAUUAGUGUUGGAUCCACAAAGAGAUCCACGAACUGUUUGUUCUAAGAUGUGGACAAUGUUGAGAGUUUCGAGGAUAGCAAGUCCCGUAGGUCCUUUGCCAGAAAGAUCUCGAGAUUGACGUAACCACUGUGCCCAUGGGGAAGGUCCACUCGAAAGGGCUUAUAGUGAUGAACAACGUAGAAUAUCCGUAUUGUUGCAGUGCUUCCACUAAAAAAACGAUGGUGCCAACGCCAAUAUUCUAUAGAGAAAGUUUUUGUAUCUAAAGAAGUUGCGGCUGAGCGCCUUGACCUAGCAGAAGAUGGAAUUGCGCCUGACACAGUGUUGAAUAGCCACCGGUCAUACACAAAUUGUAAAAGAUAAUAUUCUGAAGAGUAGUUUUCGUCUAAAACAGAUUUUUCUACGCCACUGUUGGAGCGGAAAAUUUCCUACUAAGUGGGUUUCCCGGUUUUGCCAGAAACGUAGCAUCUGUAAAACAUAAUAACAUGUCUUACCUACGGUUUAGGGGGGAGCCAUGCAGUUCGCGUGUAAAACGCGAACUCGUAGCCUCUACUCGACAACAUGAACGGUUCAUCCGCAUUAUAGGGUUUUAUUCUCGCUCUACAGUAUGGACAAUGGUACGGUACUGUAGGCGCGGUAACCUAACCCAAAAUUUUUCUAUGCACCGCUCGUUGACACGUCGGCCACAGCAAGCCAGCGUGUUGUUAGCGGUUUAAUUGCAAUGGGAGCAGUUAUCCAUCUACACAGAAAAAAGAAAUGAGUGCCAUUCAUAUAUGUAUAAAAAGAUAAAAUGGUGUACUUCCUUUUUGAUUACUUUAGUAGGUUGUUGGUUGAAAGUUCCUGUGAAAGCAAAAAUAAUAACGUGAAUAAGCGCACUGUUCUGUUUAUAAUGGUUUUCUAUUCUAUGCCAUAUGGAUGUAUUUUUGGUCAUCUAAAGACAAUGUAGCAAAUGUAUCAAAUGUAUCUAAAAAUGUCUCUUAUAAGAAGUGUCCGCUUGAUGUUCCUUUAACGAGGAUCCAUUGGAGGGCAAGUCUGGUGCCAGCAGCCGCGGUAAUUCCAGCUCCAAUAGCGUAUAUUAAAGUUGUUGCAGUUAAAAAAAAAAAGGAGCAGAGCCAGGAGGAAGACAAUGCGGUAACCUAACCCAAAUUUUUUCUUUAAAGCUCGUAUAUCUCAUUUGUUUCAAUUACAUAAAUGCAACGAUGUGCCGUGAAACCAUGGCCCCGCAACAUAAUCAACGAAGUUUAGCCUAACACUGCUCAAACACCCUUCACGAAGAGUCAACUAAGGAGUCGUUCUUCGUGCAAUCACACGGGUGAUUCUCCAUGGUGGCUUUGUCUUACUUAAACUUUUAUUUUUGUUCAAUUAUAUAGUACUAUCCACAGUCAUAUAUAUAUAUAUCUGAAUUGAAAAUUGUUAUUAUUAUAAUUAAGAAAAAUACUAGAUAAUACAAGAUAUUCAAAAUUCGAUAAUUUACUAGAUAUAUACAAGAUAUUAAAAAUUCGAUAAUUUACUAGAUAUAUACAAGAUAUUCAAAAUUCGAUAAUUUACUAGAUAUAUACAAGAUAUUCAAAAUUUUAAAAAUUACAAUAUUUGUAUAAACAUUCAUUUAUAUUUAUUUCAAAUUUGUCAUGAAUAAUGUCAUUUCUAUUAGGUGGAUAUCGUAAUUUUGACAAUCAAUGAUAGUGAUUUUUUUGUUUGGAAAUGUUAUCGUAUUUUGGUUCUGUUUAUUAUAAUUAAAGAAAAAUACUAUGGAAAUUACUUGAUAUAUCCCGAAAGAGGCUUGCAUGGCCACUUCUAGAGUAUUGUCUAGUGAUAAAUGACAUAAUAUCGUAUAUGUCAUUUGCAGUCGCCGAUGACUGCUUGUCCGUUGUGUCCAAGUUUUUAAGCGUCUGUCUUAAAGGUUGUAUUUUGUCAGUAAUCCGUUCGAUAUUUUGUAAGAUGUCUGUAUUGUUAAUUAUGUCCAUAUUUUCGUUGACACAUUGGGCGAGCUCAGAAAGCGCCACGCCUGGCCUUAACAGCCAUUCACAAUAUCGUGUAUUCAGCGCUUUGCUGAACUCGCCCAAUCUGACCCGGGUUUGCCCUUUGUAUGGUCGGAGAAAAUAGUGGGGGAAAUGGGAAAAGUAGUUUACUCGUUUGUUAUCACUUAAAAUGUAUCCAUGGCAAUAUUUCUAAAAAUUAAAAUAUGUGGUUACGUAAUGUAAUACAUGUUGAACAUGACUUUUCUUUUCCAUGAACAACAGAAAAAUCCACUUGACGAUUCAUCUAAUAAAAAGCUUUUGCAAUUUUUCAGUUCGGACUUUCUUAAUUGAAACGUCAUUAUAACUUGUACAUCUCAUUUGUUUCAAUUUUCUUAAAUGAUAACGAUGUUCCGUGAAACUAUAGCCCCGCAACAUAAGCAACGAAGUUUAGCUUGACACUGCUCAAACGCCCUACAGGAAGAGUAAACUGGGGAGUCGUUCUCUGUCAUCGCAAUUCGUGUCAACCGAUAUAGGUCAAUGUCGAAAAACUUCGCAUGUCAUAAUCAUUCAUAGUCUGGCCAAAGAAGCGACCUUGAAAUGUAUUCCGUAAAACACGUUUCAUGGCUAGUCAAUCCCAGCCACCAAACACAUUUUGACGAUACACACACCAGAGUACCUUCUAUGAGCCUUCUAGAUCAUCCCCGAAGGGGUGUGAUGACUCUAACCCUUGCAGAGUUCUUUGACAAAGGAAAUCAGAGCAGUGCAAUACUAAAAAUCACUGUAUGUGAAUACAGUUCUAUCCAAAAUUUAUUGUAUUAUUUAAUAGGUUUCCCUAAACGUGAUUGAAUAAGUUAGUACGUGAGAAAUAUGAUAUUGACCAUUUAAUUACAAUGAACUUUUUCAAUUCAGUUCUUUAUAUAAGAUUUUUCAUUGGAGAAAGUAUUUGUUUUUUUUAGAGAAAAAAGUAUAAUUAUUCAGUAAAUAAACACUAGAGCAUAAUAUGACUUUUUUAGUGAUAAAAAUCAGUAUCUCGUAAAUUCUAACAUUGAACAAUGUUCUAACAGAAAAAUAUAAAGGGGAAUUACAAGAAUUCCUUGAUAAACAAACAUUUCUGCGUAUUUCAAGGGGUUUCUGAAAAACUCUGCUAUAACUUUGAAAUGUGCUCCUAAGAGCCACAUUUUAGCUCCAAGGUGGUACAGGUCAUCCACAACCUGACUGAUUUCUCCUUCUUCGGAAACCAGCUCUAAAAAAUCUACUAAAUCUUCCUUGGAGAACUCUUACUUGUUACGUGUGUUAAGCUUUUUUCCAAGGAUUUUAAGCUUACUCAUUUCUUCCCUGGCCACGAAUUCUCUUAGCUUCGAUGCUCUCGGUGUUGUGGUGUCCUACACAGAUUUUAACUCCUCCAUAUUUACUUCGAACGUUUAAUGCAAUGCGUUUUGCCAGUACCAGGCUCACCUAUGAUUGACAGCAGUUUGGUCCAAUCAUUCAAUGAAUGAUCUUCGUCAUCCUUCUAUUAAAUGAUAGGUGGUGUUCUCAGUGGAGGUUGUGGAUCGUCGUCGGCGAUUUCUUCAUCAUCAUAAUUUACUUGGGGUUGUGGCUGUACAGUUGCAAAAACUGUUCCAUAAUGGCGAGAUCGUAAACCAAGAAAUGACUUCAGCUUAUUCAGCACACUUGUUGCUCGGCAUUAAGCGUGAAGUCAUUAUGAGUUGGCCUAUUUACGAAAUCCUCAUUACGGAGAACUUGUACUUGCCAGAGAUGGUACAUUUGCCUCGUAAUAUGUAGAAACGACAAGACAUUGUCUACAUAAUACUCUUUAUUGCCCUGUUCUCGAAAUAAAGUGGCAAUUGCAACAUCAUCGUUCCAUAGUCUGGUUGCAAUGCUAGGGCCGCUGCACAAUACUUGAACUGUUCCGGAAUGCUGUCAUGGUUUGGAUGUCUAAGUUCACUGACAUUCUUGGAAGGUACAUUCAAAAAUAAGUGUUGAAAAAAGAAGCAAGGAUUGAAAACUGACACGUACUUAACCCCGACAAGGGCUGUUUUCCUUUAGUAAGGAGUGGGAACACUUUUGUUAGUAUCGUGCGUCCUUAGCCAUUGGAGCAAACUAUAGUUCUGGAUAUCCUGGCCCCUAUUAAUGUAUUUUGUUACAAAAACACUUUUGUCAACGUUACUUGGACGCGGAGGAAUGUAAUGUUUUGUGGGGUUGUUGGUCCAGGCGGGCUUUAAAGACGAGAGAGUGACAACCAUCUCUGGUUCGAGUGGUUUUAAAUCUGACACAUGACGGAAGCCAGCCAUGGCAGGAGUAACGUGUCUAGAAUACAAUGAUUCUGAGGUUUGUUGGUUAUGGAAUUUUGAGACGUAUGAGGUGACGUACCUUAGCACCAUAGAUUUCUUAUCAGAAUGUUGGACAUCCAUUUUGCAUUUGAGGAACGGAAGGAUUGUGCUUAUAUAAGCUCGAAUGUUUCGAGAAAAUGCGUCUUGAGGUGGUACAAGGAAAGCAUUUCCUCGCCGUUCUGAUUAGUUUCAACUAAGGUUCUCUCAUUGCAUUAUGGGAAGGCAUCUUUGUGGCUGGGCUGAAGGUCAUUGACUAAGUAAGCAGUCUCCGCAUCUAACCACGGAAUGUCUCCCCUAGUCUGCUUGCUAAAGACUCUUAAGCCAAACCAAAAGAUGCUGGUGGGCGGUACCCCUGCCUUGAAAUUCGAUCCGAUGGAAAAAGUUCUCAACAUUGCAACGGUUUCUUAUAGAUAAGUAAACACGUUGUCCGUCCACCGAUUAGUGUUGGAUCCACAAAGAGAUCCACGAACUGUUUGUUCUAAGAUGUGGACAAUGUUGAGAGUUUCGAGGAUAGCAAGUCCCGUAGGUCCUUUGCCAGAAAGAUCUCGAGAUUGACGUAACCACUGUGCCCAUGGGGAAGGUCCACUCGAAAGGGCUUAUAGUGAUGAACAACGUAGAAUAUCCGUAUUGUUGCAGUGCUUCCACUAAAAAAACGAUGGUGCCAACGCCAAUAUUCUAUAGAGAAAGUUUUUGUAUCUAAAGAAGUUGCGGCUGAGCGCCUUGACCUAGCAGAAGAUGGAAUUGCGCCUGACACAGUGUUGAAUAGCCACCGGUCAUACACAAAUUGUAAAAGAUAAUAUUCUGAAGAGUAGUUUUCGUCUAAAACAGAUUUUUCUACGCCACUGUUGGAGCGGAAAAUUUCCUACUAAGUGGGUUUCCCGGUUUUGCCAGAAACGUAGCAUCUGUAAAACAUAAUAACAUGUCUUACCUACGGUUUAGGGGGGAGCCAUGCAGUUCGCGUGUAAAACGCGAACUCGUAGCCUCUACUCGACAACAUGAACGGUUCAUCCGCAUUAUAGGGUUUUAUUCUCGCUCUACAGUAUGGACAAUGGUACGGUACUGUAGGCGCGGUAACCUAACCCAAAAUUUUUCUAUGCACCGCUCGUUGACACGUCGGCCACAGCAAGCCAGCGUGUUGUUAGCGGUUUAAUUGCAAUGGGAGCAGUUAUCCAUCUACACA